CGGGGUGCAGCAGGCGCGAAACCUCUGCAAUAGGCGAAAGCCUGACAGGGUUACUCUGAGUGAUUUCCGUUAAGGAGAUCUUUUGGCACCUCUAAAAAUGGUGCAGAAUAAGGGGUGGGCAAGUCUGGUGUCAGCCGCCGCGGUAAUACCAGCACCCCGAGUGGUCGGGACGUUUAUUGGGCCUAAAGCAUCCGUAGCCGGUUCUACAAGUCUUCCGUUAAAUCCACCUGCUUAACAGAUGGGCUGCGGAAGAUACUAUAGAGCUAGGAGGCGGGAGAGGCAAGCGGUACUCGAUGGGUAGGGGUAAAAUCCGUUGAUCCAUUGAAGACCACCAGUGGCGAAGGCGGCUUGCCAGAACGCGCUCGACGGUGAGGGAUGAAAGCUGGGGGAGCAAACCGGAUUAGAUACCCGGGUAGUCCCAGCUGUAAACGAUGCAGACUCGGUGAUGAGUUGGCUUUAUGCCAACUCAGUGCCGCAGGGAAGCCGUUAAGUUUGCCGCCUGGGGAGUACGGUCGCAAGACUGAAACUUAAAGGAAUUGGCGGGGGAGCA
rnacentral:rRNA from 1 species